rnacentral:rRNA from 1 species
UACGGAGGGGGCUAGCGUUGUUCGGAAUCAUUGGGCGUAAAGGGCGCGUAGGCGGCCGAUCAAGUCGGAGGUGAAAUCCCUCGGCUCAACUGAGGAACUGCCUUCGAUACUGUUCGGCUUGAGUCCUGGAGAGGGUAGCGGAAUUCCCGGUGUAGCGGUGAAAUGCGUAGAGACCGGGAAGAACACCAGUGGCGAAGGCGGCUACCUGGACCGGCAUUGACGCUGAGGAGCGAAAGCCAGGGGAGCAAACGGG